rnacentral:rRNA from 1 species
AGGUACAAAAUUCAGUCACGUUAAGCAACUAUAUGAAAAGCAAGAACUUUAUGAUCAUGAAGUUUUACCUUCGGUUGGGGCGACCACGGAGGAAAAGCAAGCCUCCGAGUGGACUGGGCCAAACCCUAAAGCUAAAAAGGACAUCUUUAAGCCGCAGAACAUCUGACCAAUAGUGAUCCGGCUAAAAAGCCGAUCAACGGACCAAGUUACCCUAGGGAUAACAGCGCAAUCCUCUCCCAGAGCCCAUAUCGACGAGUGGGUUUACGACCUCGAUGUUGGAUCAGGACAUCCUGGUGGUGCAGCCGCUAUUAA